AAAUUGAAGAGUUUGAUCAUGGCUCAGAUUGAACGCUGGCGGCAGGCCUAACACAUGCAAGUCGAGCGGUAGCACAGAGAGCUUGCUCUCGGGUGACGAGCGGCGGACGGGUGAGUAAUGUCUGGGAAACUGCCUGAUGGAGGGGGAUAACUACUGGAAACGGUAGCUAAUACCGCAUAACGUCGCAAGACCAAAGUGGGGGACCUUCGGGCCUCAUGCCAUCAGAUGUGCCCAGAUGGGAUUAGCUAGUAGGUGGGGUAACGGCUCACCUAGGCGACGAUCCCUAGCUGGUCUGAGAGGAUGACCAGCCACACUGGAACUGAGACACGGUCCAGACUCCUACGGGAGGCAGCAGUGGGGAAUAUUGCACAAUGGGCGCAAGCCUGAUGCAGCCAUGCCGCGUGUGUGAAGAAGGCCUUCGGGUUGUAAAGCACUUUCAGCGGGGAGGAAGGCGUUAAGGUUAAUAACCUUGGCGAUUGACGUUACCCGCAGAAGAAGCACCGGCUAACUCCGUGCCAGCAGCCGCGGUAAUACGGAGGGUGCAAGCGUUAAUCGGAAUUACUGGGCGUAAAGCGCACGCAGGCGGUCUGUCAAGUCGGAUGUGAAAUCCCCGGGCUCAACCUGGGAACUGCAUUCGAAACUGGCAGGCUAGAGUCUUGUAGAGGGGGGUAGAAUUCCAGGUGUAGCGGUGAAAUGCGUAGAGAUCUGGAGGAAUACCGGUGGCGAAGGCGGCCCCCUGGACAAAGACUGACGCUCAGGUGCGAAAGCGUGGGGAGCAAACAGGAUUAGAUACCCUGGUAGUCCACGCCGUAAACGAUGUCGAUUUGGAGGUUGUGCCCUUGAGGCGUGGCUUCCGGAGCUAACGCGUUAAAUCGACCGCCUGGGGAGUACGGCCGCAAGGUUAAAACUCAAAUGAAUUGACGGGGGCCCGCACAAGCGGUGGAGCAUGUGGUUUAAUUCGAUGCAACGCGAAGAACCUUACCUGGUCUUGACAUCCACAGAACUUUCCAGAGAUGGAUUGGUACCUUCGGGAACUGUGAGACAGGUGCUGCAUGGCUGUCGUCAGCUCGUGUUGUGAAAUGUUGGGUUAAGUCCCGCAACGAGCGCAACCCUUAUCCUUUGUUGCCAGCGGUCCGGCCGGGAACUCAAAGGAGACUGCCAGUGAUAAACUGGAGGAAGGUGGGGAUGACGUCAAGUCAUCAUGGCCCUUACGACCAGGGCUACACACGUGCUACAAUGGCAUAUACAAAGAGAAGCGACCUCGCGAGAGCAAGCGGACCUCAUAAAGUAUGUCGUAGUCCGGAUUGGAGUCUGCAACUCGACUCCAUGAAGUCGGAAUCGCUAGUAAUCGUAGAUCAGAAUGCUACGGUGAAUACGUUCCCGGGCCUUGUACACACCGCCCGUCACACCAUGGGAGUGGGUUGCAAAAGAAGUAGGUAGCUUAACCUUCGGGAGGGCGCUUACCACUUUGUGAUUCAUGACUGGGGUGAAGUCGUAACAAGGUAACCGUAGGGGAACCUGCGGUUGGAUCACCUCCUUACCUUAAAGAA
rnacentral:rRNA from 1 species